rnacentral:rRNA from 1 species
UACAGAGGGUGCAAGCGUUAAUCGGAAUUACUGGGCGUAAAGCGCGCGUAGGUGGUUUGUUAAGUUGAAUGUGAAAUCCCCGGGCUCAACCUGGGAACUGCAUGCAAAACUGGCAAAGCUAGAGUAUGGUAGAGGGUGGUGGAAUUUCCUGUGUAGCGGUGAAAUGCGUAGAUAUAGGAAGGAACACCAGUGGCGAAGGCGACCACCUGGACUGAUACUGACACUGAGGUGCGAAAGCGUGGGGAGCAAACAGG